UUUAGCAUGGGAUAAUAGAAUAGGACGUGUGGUUCUAUUUUGUUGGUUUCUAGGACCGCCGUAAUGAUUAAUAGGGACAGUCGGGGGCAUCAGUAUUCAAUUGUCAGAGGUGAAAUUCUUGGAUCUAUUGAAGACUAACUACUGCGAAAGCAUUUGCCAAGGAUGUUUUCAUUGAUAAGGAACGAAAGUUAGGGGAUCGAAGACGAUCAGAUACCGUCGUAGUCUUAACUAUAAACUAUGCCGACUAGGGAUCGGACGAUGUUAUUUCUUGACGCGUUCGGCACCUUUCGAGAAAUCAAAGUGCUUGGGCUCCAGGGGGAGUAUGGUCGCAAGGCUGAAACUUAAAGAAAUUGACGGAAGGGCACCACCAGGGGUGGAACCUGCGGCUUAAUUUGACUCAACACGGGGAAACUCACCAGGUCCAGACACAGUGAGGAUUGACAGAUUGAGAGCUCUUUCUUGAUUCUGUGGGUGGUGGUGCAUGGCCGUUCUUAGUUGGUGGAGUGAUUUGUCUGCUUAAUUGCGAUAACGAACGAGACCUUAACCUGCUAAAUAGCCCGUACUGCUUUGGCAGUUCGCCGGCUUCUUAGAGGGACUAUCGGCUCAAGCCGAUGGAAGUUUGAGGCAAUAACAGGUCUGUGAUGCCCUUAGAUGUCCUGGGCCGCACGCGCGUUACACUGACAGAGCCAGCGAGUACCUCCUUGGCCGGAAGGCCCGGGUAAU
rnacentral:rRNA from 1 species